AGACAGGGUUUCACCAUGUUGCUCAGGUUGGUCACGAACUCUUGAGCUAAAGCGAUCUGCCCUCCUCGACCUUCCAAAGUGCUGAGAUUACGCGUGUGAGCCACCGCACUCAGCCGCUAAGAUUUGACUUUAGUAGUAGUAAAGACAACACUUACUUAUGCAUUGUAUAUGUCUGGCAAGGUGCCCAGGGCUUCACCUACAUUAUUUUAUUUAAUUGAUCUUUACAAUAACAUUUUAACAUAGUUAUUACUAUGUUAAAAUAUUCACAGAUUAAAAUUCAUUUUAUGUAAUUGGAGGGGGUAUCUCUAAGAUCCAAAACAUAGGUACAUUGCUCAAGAUCAAAGAGAUAGAAAUGGCAGAGCUGUGAUUAGAGCCUUGGUGUUCAGAUUUCAGAACCCACUCCUAAAGACUGCAUUAUUUACAUAUCCUCUGUAUAUAGGUAUUGAAUAGAAAUUACCAGUAAUACAUAAAAAUCCUGUUAUAUGAUUUGGAAAUAAAUUACCAUUUAAGAGGGGAUGAUGUCCAAGUAGGCAAAUGUGUCCUCAUUCAUAUCCAUACUCGAGAGUGAGGUGAAGUUGGCAUUGGUAGGCAGGCUGGGUGUAGGGAGGAUAGUAGCACCAUGCUUUUUUAUAAUUUAGUUCUUUUUUUUAAUCAAAUGAGUUAAUUGAGGACACACUUAAAAAUAAUAUUUGUCUGUACUGUCUUAUGCUGGCCUGUGUUACAUAUUGAAUUUUUAUGACUGAUUCUCUUCCAUGUUAUGUGGCUAUAGACCAACAUAAUUAAAAGGUGGUUUUUAUGAUUCUGUAAAUCUAAAUUAACCAGGGAGGCAGUACUGCUAUAACUUGUAAACUAUGGUUUUAGACUCUCGUCCUAGAGUUCUGGCCAUUUAGCUUAGCCCUUUUUGGAAAUGAGACCCUAUUCUAGGGUUCGGGUUGAGCCAAGCCUUUCUGCUUGGGGGCUUUCCAAAAAUGAGUCAAGACAAAUAAAAUUUCCCCUUUCAAAGACACCAGAAAAUAUUCAUCUUAAGUAACAUUUAAUACAUGAGAAAAUUUUGUCUGUUUUGCCAUCAUCUUUCAGCCAGUUGUUUCAUUAUAAGUGCAGCAUAUUUUUCUGUUAAAAUGAUGAGUAAAUAUAUAUUUAAUAGUAGUUGUAUGAUACUGGAGACCAUUCUCUUCAGUAUGUUAUAUCAAAUUUGAUUUAGAAGAAAGACAAGCAUAGACAAUUACUUAAUUUAUUAAACAUAUGAUGAAUCAUCUUACUUUAAUUGCUCAUGCAAAUUGUCAGCUUUAGUGGAUAAUAAUACUAAGAACUGUAAUUCAUUGAGUGCUUACAGUAUGUCAGGCACACCAGUAAGAACUUUAUAUGUAUUAUUUCAUUUUUCUGACAACUCAAUGAAGCCAGUACCCUUAUGAUCUCUGUUUUUAAGAAGAGGGGCUCGGAGAACUAACAAGGUCACAGAGCUGGCAAAGCACCCCCCAGGUCUGUCUGAUUCCAGGGCCCAUGAUCUUAAGCCCUAUGCUAUUCUGCCUACUGGUUGAUAUUCACUAAUUACCCACUCUGAAUGCAGCUCUGAAACUGAUUUACAAGUCAUUGUAAUACUUCUUUUCUGAUGAACUUGAAAAACCAUGAAAAAUACUUCUUAAUUAAUUGGACUAUAGCAAUACUUGGUCUAUAGAAAUACUGAGGAUAAUUCUGGUGAUCUUUUACAUUAAGUGGAGAACUUGAGUUUAUCAGAGGAGAAAAUCAAAGUUAUAAAUGCUGAGUAUACACUUUUAGUUAGAAUGCAGAACAUAUACCUUUAUCCCAAUUUCGGAAAAUCAUUUUAUUGCAAUCUAAUGAAAAGUAGAUAAGAUGGAUUUCUUUUUGAAGGUAUUUUAAAGCUUAUUUAGCUUUAAGGAUGAGAUACGUGUUUUUGGCUGUUGCCUGUGUGAUUUGAGUAGGUCAUAAAACUUUCUUUGCCUCUCAUCAUUCUCACAAGUUGAAUAUGAGUAACUAAAAAUGAAGAGUAUCAUGAAAGAAAGCUUCCACAAGUGUGUGAUGGUUAAUACUGAGUGUGAACUUGAUUGGAUUGAGGGAUUCAAAGUAUUAAUCCUGGGUAGUGUCUGUUGUGGAUGUUGGAAAAAGAGAUUAACAUUUGAGUCAGUGGGUUGGGGAAGUCAGAUACACCCUUAAUCUGGUGGGCACAAUCUAAUCAGCUUCCAGCAAAUAUAAAGCAAGCAGAAAAAUGUGAAAAAGAGAGAUAGGCCUAGCCUCCCAGUCUGCAUGUUUCUCCCAAGCUGGAUGCUUCCUGCCUUCAAACAUCGGACUUUAAGUUCGUCAGUUUUGGGAGUUGGACUGGCUUUCAUUGCUCCUCAGCUUGCAGACAGUCUAUUGUGGGACCUUGUAAUCAUGUAAGUUAAUACUUAAUAAACUCCCCUUUAUAUAUAUAUAUGUGUGUAUAUAUAUAUGUGUGUGUGUAUAUAUAUGUGUAUAUGUAUAUAUAUAUAUCUUAUUAGUUCUGUCCCUCUAAGAGAACCGUGACUCAUACAAAGUGUUAUUGGAAAUUCAUUACUAAAAAUAAUGAAAUCUGAUCUCAUAACUUCAGAAAAAGCAUAAUUGGUCUUGUGAGUCAGGAAAUAUUUUGAACUUCUCAAAGAUGCAGUAGUUGGGGUGAAGUAUUUUCAGUGAAUUCUUACUUAAAAUUUAAGAGGAAAGGUAGUCCUAGCACAAUGGCUAAUGUUUGUAAUCCCAGUACUUUGGGAGGCUUAGUGGAGAUGAUCAUUUGAGGCUAGGAGUUUGAGACCAGCUUGGGCAACAAAGCAAGACAAAAAAUAAAAAAAUAGAAAAGAAUAAAGGUGUUAAAUUUAAACUUUCUAAACAAUGUUGAGGGGACAAUCAGGGUUGUUGGUGGUGAUGAGACAAUUUUCCAGUUAACAAGACAAAUAACUGGUGAGUUUUAAAGUGAGCAAAAUGGAAGUGUGGACAAUUUUAUGCCUGACUUUGAAUUUAUGUGAUUUUUUUUUUUAAAAGAGGAUGUUGAAAGGCAAGUAAAAAAUAUUGUGAAAAAAAUGUGACUAAACAUUUAUAAAUUGCCCAAAUUGUACAUCAGAUUAGGAUUUUUAUUAGAUUUUUAAGUUAAUGUCAAAGAAUGAGUUUUGUUUAGCCUGUGUUUAUAUCCAGUUAGAAAUUAUGUGGCUAUGAUUAGGCUCUGUUUCGGGAGCUUAAGAGAAGAGUACAUAUCUCACUUGGGAUUUAAUCUGACUCUACCCAAGAGUUGAACUGGAGAAGUAAUGUACACAUCCCAGGGGAUCCUUAUGAUGCCCAAAUGUCAGGGACUGCUUGGGACAGAUCCCACCAGACACACAGCAUGUGUGUACUUUCCAAAGUCAGUCACUAGGUUUCAUGAAAACUCAAAGCAUCUAAUAUGACCUUGUCAAAAUUAUGUCUACAUGUCCAAGUGGAUUUACUGUAAAUCGAUGUCUAAUUACUUUUUGAAAAUUAUUUAUUUACAGAGAUUGAAUUGUUUUUUUUUUUUCAUUUCCUAUUAUGGUUGGGUAGGGAAGUCUUUGAAUUGUACUUUCUGGUGAUUAAAGUAUAAAACCAGUGAUACAGUGCAUAAACAUUAUAUUGCUUAAAAUAUAUGAGAAUGCCUGAAAAGGAGCUAUUAGUACAAAAAUGAGAUUCCAGUUUGUGCAACAGCUCAUGUAAGAGAAGAGAUUUGGAGGAAGAAAAAAAAAAAAAAACAAGAUUCAAAACGUUGAAUUAUCAAAACAUGGAUUUCUCCAAAAGCAGUUAUAAAAAAAAUAGUUAGACUAUCUCCCAGUGAUUGAGGUAAUCAUGAUUCUUCACCCACACCUCCACAAAUUUCCAACACUUGAUGUCACACAAUUUCUUAAAAUAUUUCAAGUUAGAGGGGGCCAGAGACUUCAAGCGACAGCGACACAAGAUGGCAGCCACCAUGGGCUUGGGAAUAAAAAUCCUCGCAAUUUCUGACUGUUGGAAGAACUUGAAGAAGGCCAGGAAGGGAUAGGAGAUGACACAGUUAGCUGGGGUCUAGAAGAUGAAGAAGACAGGUAUGAUAAUUGGGUCUCCAAGAACAGUUGAUGAAAACCGAAUAUACAGCCUUAAAAUAGAAUGUGGACUAAAUACCCAGAAGCACCCCGCUUUGUAAGAUUUGUAAAACAAAUUAAUAUGAAUGGAGUUAAUAGUUCUAAAUGCAGUGCUGGACCCAAGAGCCGUAUCAGUGCUAGCAAAGUGGCAGAAUUCAUAUAGCAUGAAAGUUGUCCUACAAGAACUUCGGCAUCUAAUGAUGUCUAAAGAAAGUACGAAACUCCCUCAGCCGCCCGAAGGACAGUGUUACAGCAAUUAAUCAAAAAGAAAAACCACAGGCCUUCCCUUCCCUCCCCAUUCAAUUUAAGCAGUCUUCAUUUUCCACAGUAGUAAAUUUUCUAGGUACGUCUUAUAGACCUCAAAGUACUGUAAAAAGCAAUCUGUUCUGGAAUAGUACUGUAAAAGGUACUGUAAAAAGCAAUUCCAUUCAAAGGAAUUUAUCUUAAGAUACUGUAAAUUAUACUAAUUUUUUGUCCAUUUGAAAUAUAUAAGUUGUGCUAUAACAACAAAAAAAUUUGAAGUUAGAAUGGUGGCAUUAAUUUGUGUAUUUGUUAGUAAAAAUAUAUAGAAAUUUUUAUUUCAUAUGAUUAAUGGUGAGUCAUUUUUCUAUGUAAAAGCAUAUGAUACAAAGAUAGAUGACAUGUUGCAUAUAAUAGCAUUAUGCAUUUUUUCUAAUUUUUUUUUUUAGUUUCAGCAAGUGCCUUCAGCAACUUUCAAGUCAUAUAAGGCAGAUUUCUGCACCUAAUUAACAGAUUUUGAGGCAAGGUUAAUAUUUUUACAGUUUAUUUUUUAACUUUCCAACUAAUUAGUGGACCCAUCAAAGUUAAAAAUACUUUGUAGAACUCUACUGUAGAAUAGUACUAUUUCAAAAUUAAACAAAGUGAUGAGCAACAGCUUGUCUACCUCUUUCACUUCUUAUUACACAGGAUAUAAUUAUAAAUUGGUACGUUUCUAAAUAAAUAUUUGUUCACAUAUGAAUGGAUGGCUUGUUGAAAUUCAAGUGUAAAACAGGCCACCCAAGUGGAGAUUUGCAGUUGCUAGUUGGAGGUGUGUGACUAGAGUUUGCGAAAUUCACAUAUAGGUGCUGCUUCAAACCUUGGCUAAGAGUGGGCUCACUAGGAGAAAGGGAUUAUGGCAUGAGAUGAGAAGAGAGCUGAAAACAAGAACAGGACUUUGCUAAAAGUUCACAUUUAGGAGGAGGUGAAAGAAACAGAAACAACAGGAAACAGGUGGAUUCAUUAGGAAAGAUCAGAGUAACAUCUUGUAGUAGAAACCAUGGCAAGGAAGAAUUUUCAAGGAGAAUGAACAUUGUUUGCUAGUUUCAUACAGGAAUUAUGAAAACUGAUAAAAGGUCAUUGAAUUCAAAAUAAGGAAAUGAUUAAUGACCUUGGAGACAAGCAGUUACAGUAGAGUGGUGAAAACAACAGCGUGAUUGGGAAAGUUUAAGAAAUGGAGCACAUAAUGUAGAAGAGAUGAGUAUGUAGACUAAUAUUUGGUGAGAGGAAAGGAGAAGGAAGAUGGCUGAAAAUAGUUAAAAUUAUAUUAUUCCAGAGUUGUUAAAAAAGAAGAAAAUUAAGUGAACUGAAAUUUUUCCUAAUAAAAUCCUAUUUGUCUGUUUUCCCAGCCUAGAUUUAUCAGAUCAUUGUUGAUUCUUUAAUUUCACCAUAGAAUCAAUUUUAAACUACCUCAAUUUCUGGUAGCUGAAACAUUCAAUAAUUAAUAUUUGGAUAUUGUGACACAGAGAGAACAUGAAUAUUUGUGACAGGUAAGAAUGAAAGCAAAUAUUUUUAUAUUGUUCUACUUGAGAAUGUCCAAUGAAUAGUUUUAUCAGACAAAUGAAUAUUAUUUAAAAAGCAUUUAAUUACCUUCGUAAAAUAUAAGCAGGAAAGUCAAAGUUCUCAUAAAAAGUAUGAAAAACAGCUGGACAAUUUUUAUUUCCACCAUUUAUUUGUUUAACUUUAGUAAAGACCAGUUUGAUUCUUUAGAACAGAUUGCUUUUUACACUUUGACUUCUGGCUGUGGGAUGGAUUAUGUUAGUCAUAAGAAAGUGUAACUGAUCUAAUACUUUACACUUAUUUUGCUUUCCCCCUAAUGCUAAUCUAGCUUCUAGGAGGCUGGAAAGAGUAUAGGGUUAGAAUGUUGGUAGGCAGAUCAUUUUCUUUAAGAUUCCUGGGCUGACUUAAGAUCUGGAGAAUACUAUUCAAGAAAGAAGAGAAAGAAAGGUAAAUGGAAUUAAAUCAGAAGUUUGGGAUUCCAUAUCAAUGACAUUAUUAAAUUCUAGAGGAGAGAGUUUAUGGAGCUUUGGUUCCAUAAAUCUCCCCUAGAAUUUCAUACUUCUACAUUCAAUACUUCUGCAUUGAAGUAACUUGAUAGUAUGUGCAUAUACAUGUACCAUAUAAACACUUGGCAGAGAUGCUCAAGUGCAGAGCUUUGCACAGGGUGGACAAUUUGAAUAGAUUAUGUAGAUAGGUCCUGCCGAUUCUGAAUCUAUGAUUUGUGCUUGAAAAUUAUCUUGCUUUCAUCCUCAAAUUCACUCAAUCAUUCAGAAAAUACUUAUUGCCAGCCACUGGACUAAACUCUGGACCUAGGCUCUCAAGGAUGAGAAAAGGCCAGGAAUAAAGAUUUCCUCAGCCUCCUCCCUGGGCCAUAAUGAGGGAGAAAGUAUGGGGAUGUCAAUUUGAGGGACUAGGUUACAUGGCCUGCAAAUAAGAAGGGACUUAAGGCAGAGGUUCUUUAGGGACUCCCUGCCUGCCUGUUGGUAAACUGUCUCACAGAAAUGAGCAUUCUUCUGUCCCCCAACAAGUGUGCAAACAUAGUCUGCCUACCCUCUCCAGUCACCCUGACAAUGCUCUUCCUGUUGAAUGACAGUUCUGAAAAGUGAUAAUUUAUUACUUCAAUUAAACUUUUACCGUUUUCUUGCCAUUUCGCUAGACAGAAGUGUGGAUAGUAGAUCCUAAGCACAAUUUUCACUUCCUUCUUAUACUGGAACAUUCCCCAAAGGCAUGACUAUUAUACAGUUCUGAUUAAAGCCAAAUGCUGCAGUCAUAAUAAAUUAAAGCUUUGUGACUUCAUUGUUUGUUUCUGUCAUUUACCCUGGGAUUAUGGAACAAAGCCCACUAAAUUCCCUUUUUCAUUAUCUGAAAAAUACCUUUUAGAUUUUUCUAUAAUUCCUUCACCUUGAGAUCACUCUGGCCAUCUUUUGUGUAAACAAUUAUGUCUUAUAAAAAUCUGAAUUGUAUUCGUUAAUUCCUUUAUUUAUAAUCUCAACCAUUUUAUGUUUGUCACUCUUUCUGCUCUCUUUGGCUUUUUCCCUCUCUUUUCCAAGGGUUAUAGGAUUACUGACAGGUUGGUUAAAGUUUAGUUCAGGAUUCUAUGUAUCAAUAUGCUUUAUUUACAUUUUGUUUUAAUUUUCAAUUUUUAAUUGUUUGUGUACAUAGUAGGCACACAUAUUUAUGAAGCGCAUGAAACACUCUGAUA